rnacentral:lncRNA from 11 species
ACAAAAAUGGUGAAAAGGAUAACAUGAUUCUCAUGUUGGUAACAACUAUAAUGAAAGCCGCAUAGUUUUUCAAGAGGAAAAUAUCGAAGUACAUCUGAAAAUAAGAAACUAGGACAACAACAAAGACGAGAGUCUUCACACAAUUCAGGGCUACUCCCAUGAGGUGGAAAGUUAUAACAAAGAGGAUAUGCUGCC